rnacentral:rRNA from 1 species
UGGGGAAUAUUGGACAAUGGGCGAAAGCCUGAUCCAGCAAUGCCGCGUGAGUGAUGAAGGCCUUAGGGUUGUAAAGCUCUUUUACCCGGGAUGAUAAUGACAGUACCGGGAGAAUAAGCUCCGGCUAACUUCGUGCCAGCAGCCGCGGUAAUACGAGGGGAGCUAGCGUUGUUCGGAAUUACUGGGCGUAAAGCGCGCGUAGGCGGUUUUUUAAGUCAGAGGUGAAAGCCCGGGGCUCAACCCCGGAAUAGCCUUUGAAACUGGAAAACUAGAAUCUUGGAGAGGUCAGUGGAAUUCCGAGUGUAGAGUGAAAUUCGUAGAUAUUCGGAAGAACACCAGUGGCGAAGGCGACUGACUGGACAAGUAUUGACGCUGAGGUGCGAAAGCGUGGGGAAGCAAA